UAAAACCUAACCCUAAUAGACCCACACACUCACCCACUCCAUCUAACCUAGCACCGCACCGCACCCUCUUCUUCCCCAAAACACACAUACACAAAUGCAGCUCACCACACACGCACACACAAGCUUACACACGCAGAGGAAGAAACCUUGAGGGAGAAGACGCUACCCUACUGACAGCUCCGUCGCGUCCAGCUGUCGCCUUGCUUGUCGCCACCGUCGAUUGCCGAGAGAGAGGGAUUCCAACGUGAUCUAGGGAUGGAGGCAGAGUGAGAACAAAACGCGAGCUGAGGAGUUGUCUUCGCACACCGUCGCUGUUUGUGGAGCUUGCUACCGUCACCGUUCAAGCUGCUGCUGCCCGCCGUCACACGCGAUGCCGCCAAAGCUACCCGCACCUCCGUCGACGCCGAUCUAAGCAGAGGAGAAGAGGAAGGACGAUGAAGAGGAGAGAUUGAUGGAAGGAGGGAAAGCAGCGCCGCUGUGGUUGUUGCUACGUCGCCGCCAGAGCUCCUCACUACUGCUCUAGUCGCUGGAGUCAACCGUUGGAGCUGUGGCUACUUGGUUCUUGGUUCUUUCUUGGUAUAGGUUGAGUUUCAGUUCUUGCAUGUCACGUUUGGAGUUGCCGUUGUUGUUGUGGAAGCGAUACGGAGCUGUGGUUGCAGCUGCCGCUAUUGCGGGCCGAGAAAAAAUGGAGUUUGUCGCGUAGUUAAGUCGUGAUCAAGCUACAGGUACGAAAGCUUAUUGUGAAGUUGUGGAAGCAUAGAAGAAUUUGUACGAGUUGAGUUGUUGCUAGAAUUUAUUUUCCACUCACCUUGUUAGUUGAAAUUUUAUUUAAAAGGAUAGUUUUUGCAAUUGGUUUUGUUUGUAAUACUAUAAUGUAUUAUUAAUAUUAAGAAUAUGAAUAUGUGUUAUUUUGUUCU